CCUACGGGAGGCUGCAGUGGGGGAUAUUGCACAAUGGGGGGAACCCUGAUGCAGCGACGCCGCGUGGGUGAAGAAGCGCCUCGGCGCGUAAAGCCCUGUCAGCAGGGAAGAAAAUGACGGUACCUGAAGAAGAAGCCCCGGCUAACUACGUGCCAGCAGCCGCGGGAAUACGUAGGGGGCAAGCGUUAUCCGGAUUUACUGGGUGUAAAGGGGGCGCAGACGGCGAUGCAAGCCAGGAGUGAAAGCCCGGGGCCCAACCCCGGGACUGCGCUUGGAACUGCGUGGCUGGAGUGCAGGAGGGGCAGGCGGAAUUCCUGGUGUAGCGGUGAAAUGCGUAGAUAUCAGGAGGAACACCGGUGGCGAAGGCGGCCUGCUGGACUGCAACUGACGUUGAGGCCCGAAAGCGUGGGGAGCAAACAGGAUUAGAUACCCCGGUAGUC
rnacentral:rRNA from 1 species